rfam:Chlorocebus sabaeus isolate 1994-021 chromosome 20, whole genome shotgun sequence.
UGGCGCCUCAACGUGGAACCUGGAAAGGAGGGAUUCCGUGAGGAAGAGGACGCGAAAGAACGGUCGACCGUCGUCAAGGUGAAACUAAACUCCUCCGAUCACCGCAGGAACCUGCUGCGUCAGAAUCGAAGGUAAGUGACGCGUCCGAAAUGGGUCAAGAAUUAAGUCAACAUCAAAUCUAUGUAGGACAAUUAAAAGAGGCUUUAAAGAUA